AGCUCCAAGAGCAUAUAUUAAAGUUGUUGCAGUUAAAAAGCUCGUAGUUGGAUUUCUGGUUUAAUGCACCUGGCCCGCAGCCCUCAAGGCUUGUGAGUGCCGGCGCGCGUUUACCAUCUUUCUAGGUUUGUGCUCUCCCAUUUACUUGGCGGAGUUACAAUUCUCUAGAUCUUUUACUUUGAAAAAAUUAGAGUGUUUAAAGCAGGCUUUUGCCUAAAUAUAUUAGCAUGGAAUAAUAAUCUAGGACUUCGGUUCUAUUUUGUUGGUUCAUAAAGCUGAAGUAAUGAUUGAUAGGGACAGUUGGGGGUGCUAGUAUUGGCCGGCCAGAGGUGAAAUUCUUGGAUUCGGUCAAGACUAACUUAUGCGAAAGCAUUCACCAAGGAUGUCUUCU
rnacentral:rRNA from 1 species